GCAGUUGCUGUGCAGGGGUGGCCCCUGGGGCUCAGCCCCUGGACUGCGUCCUAAUCCAGACCAAGGGUGGGAGCAGAGACAGUGACCUUUGCCAAGGGCUCUGGUGCACAAUGGACUGGCGGAUCAAUACGUGUACGAGUGCAACAUGUCAACAUCCCUGCACUUCCUGAGCUGGCCAGGGUGGCCUUGCUGCUGCUGAGGACAUUAACUGCAGCCUCCUGAAAGGCCUUUUGUGAGGUGUACAGCCCUAGAGAAAGGCUGGACUUUGUAGGAGAGAUGAGUUCCUAUAGAUCAUGCAGCACAUUUCAUCAGGAGAAUAAUUCAUCUUUCUUAUUUUCCUGAGGAAUCCUUUGC
rnacentral:lncRNA from 1 species